AGAACGAACGCUGGCGGCAGGCCUCAAACAUGCAAGUCUAGGGGGUGCAGCAAUGCAUCACCGGCGGACGGGUGCGUAACACGUGGGAAUAUACCUUUUGGUUCGGAACAACUGAGGGAAACUUCAGCUAAUACCGAAUGUGUCCUUGCGGAGAAAGAUUUAUCGCCAAAAGGAUUAGCCCGCGUUCGAUUAGCUAGUUGGUAGGGUAACGGCCUACCAAGGCGACGAUCGAUAGCUGUUCUGAGAGGAAGAUCAGCCACACUGGGACUGAGACACGGCCCAGACUCCUACGGGAGGCAGCAGUUGGGAAUCUUGGACAAUGGGGGAAACCCUGAUCCAGCCAUGCCGCGUGAGUGAUGAAGGCCUUCGGGUUGUAAAACUCUUUCGACGGGACGAUAAUGACGGUACCGUAGAAGAAGCUCCGGCUAACUUCGUGCCAGCAGCCGC
rnacentral:rRNA from 1 species